rnacentral:ncRNA from 2 species
UGAAUGAUGCCUGGCUCGAGA